rnacentral:rRNA from 1 species
ACUCCUACGGGAGGCAGCAGUGAGGAAUAUUGCGCAAUGGGCGAAAGCCUGACGCAGCGACGCCGCGUGGGGGAUGAAGGUUUUCGGAUUGUAAACCCCUUUCAUGAGGAAAGAUAAAGUGGGUAACCACUUAGACGGUACCUCAAGAAGAAGCCACGGCUAACUUCGUGCCAGCAGCCGCGGUAAUACGAAGGUGGCAAGCGUUGUUCGGAUUUACUGGGCGUAAAGAGCACGUAGGCGGUUGGGAAAGCCUCUUGGGAAAUCUCCCGGCUUAACCGGGAAAGGUCGAGAGGAACUAUUCAGCUAGAGGACGGGAGA